GCCAGAAAAGAAGAAAUGAAGGAUGACCGCCUCGCUGGAACCGCCAGAGAGGUGGUGGGUUUUAGUUCCUACCCCCUCCUUUUUGUCAGUUCAGAAAUGAUGGGCAGAACUGAGGGAGCAUCUUCAACAGGUCGAGUGGGGUACUGAACAGGUUCGCGCAAGAGUAAAAAUUGUUGCUCACAUUUCGCCAUCGCUUGAGCAUCUAUUAGAUUAGCACUGGGUCUUCACUGUUGCUGCCUGCUAGCUUUAGGAAGGAUCCAUGUGGAUGGAGAGCUCUGGAAAGGAACAAAGUCAAGAAAUGAGACCCAAGACUUCCCUUGUAAUGAGGAAAAGAAAACGACUUUACAGAAACAUCCUGGAAAAGUCAAGUAAGUUAAAAUAUGUCUUUCUUGAAGUUCAAAGGAGACAAUAUUUUUUUCAGCUUAGUGGUUAACGUACUUGCAUAAACACAAAUCAGUGACACAACGCCCCACCAGCAGCU